AUUGAACGCUGGCGGCAGGCCUAACACCUGCAAGUCGAACGAGUGGCGGACGGGUGAGUAAUGUCUGGGAAACUGCCCGAUGGAGGGGGCUAACUACUGGAAACGGUAGCUAAUACCGCAUACCAUCGGAUGUGCCCAGAUGGGAUUAGCUAGUCGGUGGGGUAACGGCUCACAUAGGCGACGAUCCCUAGCUGGUCUGAGAGGAUGACACGCCACACUGGAACUGAGCCACGGUCCAGAUUCCUACGGUAGUCAGCAGUGGGUAAUAUUGCACAAUGGGCGAAAGCCUGAUGCAGCCAUGCCGCGUGUAUGAAGAAGGCCUUCGGGUUGUAAAGUACUUUCAGCGAGGAGGCGUUACUCGCAGAAGAAGCACCGGCUAACUCCGUGCCAGCAGCCGCGGUAAGUC
rnacentral:rRNA from 1 species